UACGAAGGGGGCUAGCGUUGCUCGGAAUCACUGGGCGUAAAGGGUGCGUAGGCGGGUCUUUAAGUCAGGGGUGAAAUCCUGGAGCUCAACUCCAGAACUGCCUUUGAUACUGAGAAGCUUGAGUCCGGGAGAGGUGAGUGGAACUGCGAGUGUCGAGGUGGAAUUCGUAGAUAUUCGCAAGAACACCAGUGGCGAAGGCGGCUCACUGGCCCGGUACUGACGCUGAGGUGCGAAAGCGUGGGGAGCAAACAGG
rnacentral:rRNA from 1 species